rfam:Puccinia graminis f. sp. tritici CRL 75-36-700-3 supercont2.31 genomic scaffold, whole genome shotgun sequence.
GUCUCCAUAGCUCAGUGGUUUAGAGCGGCCGCCUGCAGUUAUUAGCUGUAUAGCGGCAGGUCACGUGUUCAAAUCACGUUGGGGACU